rnacentral:rRNA from 1 species
GUGCCAGCAGCCGCGGUAAUACGUAGGGUGCGAGCGUUGUUCGGAAUUACUGGGUGUAAAGGGUCCGCAGGCGGGCGAGCAAGUCGGUGGUGAAAGUUCAUGGCUUAACUGUGAAAUUGCCUUCGAUACUGCUCGUCUUGAGUCCGAGAGAGGAUGAUGGAAUUCAUGGUGUAGCAGUGAAAUGCGUAGAGAUCAUGAAGAACACCAGUUGCGAAGGCGGUCAUCUGGCUCGGUACUGACGCUCAGGGACGAAAGCGUGGGUAGCAAACAGGAUUAGAAACCCCCGUAGUCC